rnacentral:rRNA from 1 species
UACGUAGGGUGCGAGCGUUGUCCGGAAUUAUUGGGCGUAAAGGGCGCGUAGGCGGCCCGCCGCGUCCGGGGUGAAAUCCUCCCGCUCAACGGGAGAACGGCCUCGGAUACGGGCGGGCUGGAGGGGGGUAGGGGCAGGCGGAACUGUGGGUGGAGCGGUGAAAUGCGUUGAGAUCCACAGGAACUCCGGUGGCGAAGGCGGCCUGCUGGACCCCAUCUGACGCUGAGGCGCGAAAGCCAGGGGAGCGAACGGG